GCUCAUUUCGCUUGCUUUGUGAUGCAGUCACGCGUUCGCGCGCGUGUGCAGCUUCCCGCGGUGUCUGGCCGGCGCGACAGCGUUCCUGUUGUUUGUGUUCGGCCUUAAAAUCGUUUUCCAUCGUAGCUCUUCGAACUUAUUAUCGAUGCCAAGAAUGCCCGUGCGUUUCGUGGAAAUCACCAAUCCGAGAAGUAGGAACAAGUAGUUUCAUAUCCGGUAUGUGGGAACACUCGGGACGUACGGAUCCGUCGCAGUGCAAUUUUGUGCCUAUACGUCGCUAUAUGAAGGAGCCCAUGCUCUGGAACAUUCCAAAGACAGUGACGUCAUGCUGCGAAUAAUUUUAUCGACGCCGGAAUUCUUUGGAGGAAGGCCUCUCGCAGCGAGUCUCAACGGACGAGUAAUACUUUUUUGCACGCACAAGGUGCCGAAGAGCCAUGUGUCUCGCACGAAUGCAGUCAGCAGUCGUUGCACUCCCUUCCUGAAAGCUGCGGGCCCUCCGAGAAAAACGACGUCUUUAAAGGUCCUGUACGAAAGACCAUUCU